rnacentral:tRNA from 1 species
GGGGCUAUAGUGUAGCCUGGCUAUCACAUAUGCUCGGGGAGCAUAUAACCCGUGUUCAAAUCACGGUAGCCCCA